CUACGGGGCGCUGCAGUGAGGAAUUUUGCGCAAUGGGGGGAACCCUGACGCAGCAACGCUGCGUGAGUGAUGAAGGCUUUCGGGUCGUAAAGCUCUGUCAAGUGGGAAGAACCUAUGCAGUGUUAAUAUCACUGUAUACUGACGGUACCACUGAAGGAAGCACCGGCUAACUCCGUGCCAGCAGCCGCGGUAAUACGGGGGGUGCAAGCGUUAUUCGGAAUCAUUGGGCGUAAAGGGCACGUAGGCGGCUUGGUAAGUCAGAUGGGAAAGCCCGGGGCUUAACCCCGGAAGUGCAUUUGAUACUGGCAGGCUUGAGUAUGGGAGAGGGAAGUGGAAUUCCUGGUGUAGAGGUGAAAUUCGUAGAUAUCAGGAGGAACACCGGUGGCGAAGGCGACUUCCUGGACCAAUACUGACGCUGAGGUGCGAAGGCGUGGGUAGCAAACAGGAUUAGAUACCCGGGUAGUC
rnacentral:rRNA from 1 species